rnacentral:lncRNA from 1 species
UGUUGCAAUGCUGAAGGUUACUUUGAGGAAAUCUCAACAUUAAUUCCUUUAUUCAGUAACUUGAGAACGGAUUGAUGCUGAGGACGAGCUUGGCUUAUUGAUUUCAAUGACAAGGAACAAACAAUCACUUUCCACCACUAAGUGAGAUAUUCCAAGGUUAAGACAUAGUUAUAGACCUCUCACAAGUGCAUCAGCUUCAAUGUGUUCCGGUUCCAGGAUUGUGUUUGCAGGACCACUAGCAGCCAGAAUUGUUUAUCCCACGUGGUCCCGUAAAAUGAUUCCGAUCCCAGACUUAUUUGAGUCAAAGAAUAGUGCGCCAUCAAUAUUGAGUUUCAAUGCUUUCUUGGGUGGUGCCGACCACCUAUAUUUGUGGAGAAGCGAUCCAAGUGUACUGUUGAGGGGUAGCAAUUACUUGUUGUGGUGGAAGGUUUAGCUGGUCAUGGACCAUUUUGUUUCGGCGGAACCAAAAACCCCAAGUGAUGAGUAUAAAUUCCGUGAGAGCAUCCUUUGAGUUUUUUGCCAUUAUAUCCAUAGCUACUUGCAUGAAAUCUCCCAGGUGAUCCUUAUUCUGUAGUGCUGGGAACUGUCUGGUUAGGAGAUGGUAAGUAGAAGGGCAAUUGCGUAGAACAUGGCAUAGGUCUUCUACCUGGUAGUCGCAAAAACAAUAUUGAGUGGCAAUAGGGAUUCCUCUUCGAAUCAGAUUUUGUUUCGAGGGCAAGCUUUCUUUACAAGCUCUCCAAGCAAAAUUUUUUUACUUUUUGGCGUAUCUUUAGAUGCCAUAUAGUAUCCCAAAAUUUCUUUUUCUCAGUUGUGUUUGAAGAGUUGCCACGGUCCGAAGUUUGACAAUUCUUGAAGAAUCUAUAUACACUGCUAACAGAAUAAAGUCCAAUUUUUUCAUGUUCCCAUAACCAGAAAUCUUUUUCUCUCGAAGGGCUUGGAUGUAAUUUUAGUAUUGCCUCCACAAUUUUUGGAUUGAAUACAGCCCUAAGCUUAGUCAGGUUCCACCAUUUCAAGUUCAGAUCAAUCAAUGAAGCCACUGGACUUUCAAGUUGUUGAUUGUGAUGCAGUAAAUCAUUUCCCAAGUCCCUGCUUAGAUUUUUCACUCCUGAGAUCCAGUUAUCAUUUAUAAUGUAUAUAGUGUGACUAUCACCAACAACCCAUCUUCCCCCUUGUAUCAGUAGAUUUUUAGCCUCCCAGAUUCCACGCCAAGCAUAUGAGGGAUUACUACCAAUAGAUGCUUUAAGAAUGUUACCUUCAAGGAAGUAACAGGCUGAGAAUAUUUUGUGAACUAAGCUAUCUGUGUGUUGCAAUAGCCUCCAAGCCUGUUUUCCAAGCAUAGCUAUGUUGAAGAUUCCCAGCUCCUUGAAGCCCAUACCCUCCAUGGAUUUCGAUGUACACAUGGUAUUCCAGGAUUGCCAAUGGAUUUUUCGUUCCUCCUUUCUUUGGCCCCACCAAAAUCUACUCAUCAUCCUUUCAAUUUCAGUGCAUAAUAUAGAGGGAAGUUUGAAGUAACUCAUAGCAUAGGAGGGGAUUGCUAAAGCCACUGAUUUGAGGAGGAUUUCUCUUCCCCCUUGGGAGAACAUACCACUCUUCCAACUUUGUAAUUUCAACCAAGCCUUGUGUUUUAUUCCAGAGAAAGCUCGAUUUUUGAUCCACCGAUCAUAGGUGGUAAUCCCAAAUACUUUUCAUAUUGCUGUAUUUCAGGAGCAUUCCAAAGAGCCAUAAUUUCUUGCUUCUUAUCUGGCUUUACAUUUGCACUAAAGACCAUAGAAGUUUUAUCUCUAUUCAACUGUUGACUUGAUGCAUCUUCAUAGCUACUAAGGAGAGCUUGUAGUCAAGUAGUAGUUUCCACAUUUGCUUCACAGAAAAUCAGGCUGUCGUCUACAAAGAAAAAUGAUUCAAGCUUGGAGCUCUUCUACACACUUGAAUACCAUUCACUAAUUUAUUUCUUUCCCCUGUAUUCAAUAGAUUAAUCAAUCCUUUGGCACAUAAGAGGAAUAGAUAGCGCGAUAUUGGAUCCCCUUGUCUCCACCCCCUUGAGGGGAUAAUGCGACCUAUGGGAGCGCCAUUGAUGAGUAUCGAGAAAGAAGGAGUUGUAACACAUGUCAUCACCAGUUUGAUAAUUUUUUCAUGGAAGCCAAAUUUAUACAUAACCGCCUCAAGAAAAGACCAUUUAACUCUGUCAUAUGCUUUACUCAUUCAAGCUUCAGAGACAUGUAACAUUUCUUACCCUUCUUCUUUCUUCAUAGGAAAUGGAGUACUUCAUAGGCCACAAGCGCAUUGUCUGUAAUCAGACGCCCUUUAAUGAAGGCUGACUGUGUUUCUAAAAUCACCACAGGUAGUACUUCUUUUAUCCUGUUAGCCACAACUUUUGAAACAAUUUGUACAGGAUAUUACAAAGACUAACUGGUCUGCAAUCCUUUACUUUCUGAGGAUUUUUUAUCUUUAGGACAAGUGUAAUAAAAGUGUGGUUUACAUUUUAGGGAAACUCAUUGGUAUUUAAAGCAUGUAAUA